rnacentral:rRNA from 1 species
AAUGAACGUUGGCGGCAUGGAUUAGGCAUGCAAGUCGAGCGAGAAGUGUAGCAAUACACGGAAAGCGGCGGAAGGGAGAGUAAUACGUGGGAAUCUGCCCUUAGACCUGGGAUAGCAGCGGGAAACUGCUGGUAAUACCAGAUAAUGUCUAUGGACCAAAGGUGUGAUUCCGUCUAGGGAUGAGCCCACGUCCUAUUAGCUAGUUGGUAGGGUAAUGGCGUACCAAGGCGAUGAUGGGUAGCGGGUGUGAGAGCAUGACCCGCCUCACUGGGACUGAGACACUGCCCAGACACCUACGGGUGGCUGCAGUCGGGAAUCUUCGGCAAUGGGCGCAAGCCUGACCGAGCGAUGCCGCGUGCGGGAUGAAGGCCUUCGGGUUGUAAACCGCUGUCGAGGGGGAGCAACUUCCAUAGAGUUAUCUUUAUGGAUUGAGUGAUCCCUGGAGGAAGGACGGGCUAAGUUCGUGCCAGCCGCCGCCGUAAAAC